rnacentral:miRNA from 1 species
UAUUUUUGUAGAGGCGGUCCCUGUCCUCCAGGAGCUUACAAUCUAGCUGGGAGGGGGGCACAGCUAACACACACUUAAACAAUUAGC